GUGGGAAAUCUUGCGCAAUGGGCGAAAGCCUGACGCAGCCAUGCCGCGUGAAUGAUGAAGGUCUUAGGAUUGUAAAAUUCUUUCACCGGGGACGAUAAUGACGGUACCCGGAGAAGAAGCCCCGGCUAACUUCGUGCCAGCAGCCGCGGUAAUACGAAGGGGGCUAGCGUUGCUCGGAAUUACUGGGCGUAAAGGGCGCGUAGGCGGACAGUUUAGUCAGAGGUGAAAGCCCAGGGCUCAACCUUGGAAUUGCCUUUGAUACUGGCUGUCUUGAGUACGGGAGAGGUGAGUGGAACUCCGAGUGUAGAGGUGAAAUUCGUAGAUAUUCGGAAGAACACCAGUGGCGAAGGCGACUCACUGGCCCGUUACUGACGCUGAGGCGCGAAAGCGUGGGGAGCAAACAGGAUUAGAUACCCGUGUAGUCC
rnacentral:rRNA from 1 species